AGAGUUUGAUCCUGGCUCAGGACGAACGCUGGCGGCGUGCUUAAAACAUGCAAGUCGAACGGGGUCCAAGGAGUGGCAACACUCCGGAAGACCGAGUGGCGAACGGGUGCGUAACACGUGAGGAACCUGCCCCGGAGACCGGGAUAACCCUCCGAAAGGAGAGCUAAUACCGGAUGUCCUCGUCUGAUCGCAUGGUCGGACGAAGAAAUGGAUUCCGCUCCGGGAUGGCCUCGCGGCCUAUCAGCUUGUUGGUGGGGUAACGGCCUACCAAGGCAGCGACGGGUAGCUGGUCUGAGAGGACGAUCAGCCACACUGGGACUGAGACACGGCCCAGACUCCUACGGGAGGCAGCAGUUAGGAAUCUUGCGCAAUGGGCGAAAGCCUGACGCAGCAACGCCGCGUGGGGGAUGAAGGCUCUCGGGUUGUAAACCCCUUUCAGCAGGGACGAUUGUGACGGUACCUGCAGAAGAAGGACCGGCCAACUACGUGCCAGCAGCCGCGGUAAU
rnacentral:rRNA from 1 species